CCAAUUUCUAAAAGAGGGAGACGAUUCGCUUGAUAAAGACCAUGAUGCUCUGGAAAUUUCUCUUCCUAUUCGCCACAAUUCUGGCGACAGUGGUGAGCCUACCGGCAGAUGAUUCAGUCCGCGGUGGUGCAAUAACGGUCUAUCCAAUUCCUCAGAGGCCCUUCUACGCAGGCAGUGACUCCAUUUAUCCAAAGCCAGCGCCUACUCAAGCGAGUAACCGUAACCGAGGAUAAUUACAAAAAAGAAAAGUCUCCUAAUCGUAAAUAUGUGUCGCGAAACGAAAAACAAAACUACUAGACUGGUAGCAUUGUUAGAGCACUUCAAGGUCACGAUAAAACACUUUCUUCCUUAUGAAAUCUAAUUUACGUUUACUGUCAUUUCUCUGCUGAAAUCAGGCAUUCGGAUAAUUCUCCCGGAGUGGGGAGUUGGGGAGUCAUAUUACUGUUUAAUAACACUCGUCACGUAUUCUCGUUACACGUAAGAUCACGCAAGACCGAGAGUCACAAUUUAGGCUGAUGAAUUCGUUUUUUCUCAGAUUCGAUGCUUUGUGCAGUGUUUCUAGUGAAUAUGAAUAAAUGAAUAAAUUACCUGGAUUAUGCUUUUUUUUAAAUUUCUUGUACACUAUUAAAAAUUUAAUAUUAAAAUUUUGGUAAGAGUCUUCGAAAUGUUUAAUAAGUAACAUAUCCACUGAAAAUUCAAGGAAUUUUGUUCUUGAAAAUUCUUAAUUUCAUAAAAAAUCCGUGGGAAUUGUAAAUUUAAGUUUAAUUAUUCCAGAAAAUGGAUGAAAAGUCUGGAAAAUUCAGAGGCAUCUCUCCAUGAAUUUCAGGUUCGUCUGAAUUUCCAGGGAAUUCAUUCAAAAACUCCUGGAAUUCCAAGAAUUUUAAAGGAACUGCGAGAAAAUUUGAGGAAAUGUAGCAGGGAAUAUUUAUUUUUAUUAAAAAUUCAUGUAAAUUGGAGAAUUUCCGUCGAAUUAUCACAGAAACCGCAAAUUCCAUUCACUUUUUUCCCUUAAAUCGAAUUCAUCGUCUUUUUCCGGAAAAUUUAGUCAAAUGUUUUUAACAAUGUAUAUUGUAUUUUCAAAAUAAAGACUAUUGUGUGGGUU